AUAAUUCUUCAUAGUCAACAUUGCCCUUUAUCACAAUAAGACUGUGAUAGCCAUGUAGUUUCCUUUAGGAGAAUCUUUGGUAACAUCCUCCAGCUGCCACAUCUUUGGGUCCACUGUGCUUGUUCACGUCAGUCAACACUUUGACUAGGCUGCUCUCAGCCUAAGAUAGAGUACGGCAGGAUUACCAAAAUCACCAAUUUCUGCUCAAUUCAGACCCUGUCUAACGAACAACUUUGACUCAGGGAUUUCCUUUGGCCUGAGAAUUUCUUGGCUCUCUGUUGAGGUCUGAAGCUCUUCCUACCCAUUCCUUCCUUCCCUCUCUCCCUUCACAGAUCAGAUCAGUGUCUUGGUCUAAAGCCUUCCCCAGUCUACUCCUACUUGCUCCCUGCAAUGAUUAAUUUUAUGUGUCAACUUGACUGGGCCUCAAGGUGCCCAGAUAUUUGCUUGAACAUCAUUUUGAGUGUGUCUGUGAUUGCAUUAGUUCGUUUUCACACUGCUGAUAAAGACAUACCCAAAACUGGGAACAAAAAAAGGUUUAAUUGGACUUUACAGUUCCACAUGGCUGAAGAGGCCUCAGAAUCAUGGCAGGAGGUGAAAGACACUUCUUACAUGGCAGCGGCAAGAGAAAAAUGGGGAAGAGGCAAAAGAGCGGAAACCCCUGAUAAACCCAUCAGAUCUCAUGAGACUUAUUCACUAUCACAAGAAUAGCAUGGGAAUGACCAGCCCCCGUGAUUCAAUUACCUCCCCCUGGGUCCCUCCCACAAUACGUGGGAAUUCUGGGAGAUACAAUUCAAGUUGAGAUUUGGGUGGGAACACAGCCAAACCAUAUCAGUGAUGGUGUCUCUGAAUGAGAUUAACACUUGAAUAGUGUUGAUUGCCUUCCUUAAUAUGGGUGGGCCUCAUCCAGUUAGUGGAAGGCCUGAAUGGAACAAAAAGGCUGAGUGAGAGGGAACUUCUGCCUGCCUGCUGAGCUGGGACAUUGUUUUUGUUUGUUCGUUUUCUGUUUGUUUUUUCCUGCCUUCAGACUCUUCCUGGUUUGCAAACCUGCUGGAGCUACACUGUCAGCUCUCCUGGGUCUCCAGCUUGCCAACUGCAGAGCUUGGGACCUGUCAUUGUCUUUAAACAUAUGAGCCAAUUCCUUACUGUAAAUAUAAACAUGUAAAUAUAUAUCCUAUUGGUUUUGUUUCUCUGGGGAAUCCCAAUUAAUACGUCCCCUGCCUUCACAGGUGUUUUCUCCAAAUAGGUCCCUCACAUGUUGAGUCUCAUCUUGGCUUUUCCUUCUCAGAAGACCCAAACUGGUGCCAGGACAUUUUAAUAUGCUACUCUCUAUGCAUCCAAACUCUUUCCACUCUUCCUCCUCAAACCCCUAUUUGCCUUUCACAUCCCAGCCCUAUUAUCUUUUCUUUAUGGAUGAUCUUUCCAACCUCCUGACAAGAUCAACAUUUUCAACUCAAUGCUGCCAUAUCAUUAUGCACUUCUUUGCAGCCCCUAACACAGGUGUGAUUCUGUAUUGAUUUAGGUGACUUUAUAAUGAAUGACUUUCUUUCUCAUUAAACUCUACAUCAUGUUUCUUACUGUUUGUUUGUUUAUUGCUUUUUGUUGUGUUUUUAGCUUACCAUUAUGCCCCUAGGCCCUAAGUUCCUGGCAUAUAAGGUGCUCAAUAAAUAUUUAGUGAGUCAAUAAAUAUCAUUUUGUGCAUGGGUCUUUUUUUCUGUUCUAGAAUAAAUUCUAGGGUAUGGAAUUUGGGGUCAAAAGGCAAGAUAAAACCCCUUGUUUAAUGUUUUCUUCAUGCCAUAAUCUUUCUUCCUUGGUUUUUAUUUUCUAAUUUUUUAAACAAAAUUUACAUACAAUAAAAUAUAAAACAAUUACAUCUGCAAUGGACAAGUUGUGACAAGCAUAAAGCUAUGUAGCCAACACCUCAAUCAAUAUCUAGAACCUUUCCAUGAACUCAAACAUUUUCCCCAUGCCCAUUUCUAGUCAUCUGCCUCUCACCCCAGGAGCAAACUGCUGUUUUAAUUUCUACUGCUACCAAUUGUUCAUCCUAGAACUUCAUAGAACUGAAAUCAAUGAAACACAGUAUUAAUGAACAGUAGUUACUCUUUUUUUUUCUUUGCUUCUUUUUAUCAGCAUAAUGUUUUUGAGAAUCAUCUAUGUUAUUAUGUAUAUCAAUUAUCUAAUUCCUUCUGACUGUUAUAUAGUGUUCCAUUGUAUGCAGACACCAUAAUUGUUUAUACACUCUCCCAAUGAUUGCAUUUGAUUGUUUCCAGUUUUUAG
rnacentral:lncRNA from 1 species